UUAGGGGUGGCAAUCGUGUCGGGUCGUGUCGGGUUCAGGUCGGGUCUUAACAGGUUGGGGUGUUUUUUGCUUAAACCCGAACCUGACCUGUUAACCUGUUUAACUCUUUUUCCUUAAACCCGAACCUGACCUGCUAAUUAAACAGGUCGGGUUCAGGUUGACCUGUUUAAACCUGCUUCUUAGCUUAGGAGAAAUAUUGUUACCAGAAAACGAAGAAUUCGGAAACCUUUGUAGAGAACUUGGAAUACUACCACUGAGACUAUUAUUUGCUAGAUUCAAUUGUUGUAAAACGAGCAAGUUAAGCUCAGGAAUUUCGCCAGAAAACAAGUUGUUUGCAAGAUUUAAAGCUGUUAAAUGGGUCAAAUUCGACAAGGAUG
rnacentral:lncRNA from 1 species